AAAUGAACAACGCAAAUAACAACGUUCAAGUCUUAUCGUAACGCUGGGCCGAGGUGCCCUUUCGAGGCUGCGCCCAAGACGUCCGGUGACUGAGAGACGGAGAACGGAGACUGAAGCGAACAAUCUUGGGUGCGGUGCCCCUCGGCGACAAGCCAGAUGGGGGGGAUCGCAAUGAUUGAGCGUACAU
rnacentral:sRNA from 1 species